UGCAAGUCGAGGGGCAUCAGGAAGAAAGCUUGCUUUCUUUGCUGGCGACCGGCGCACGGGUGAGUAACACGUAUCCAACCUGCCCUUUACUCGGGGAUAGCCUUUCGAAAGAAAGAUUAAUACCCGAUGGCAUAAUGAUUCCGCAUGGUUUCAUUAUUAAAGGUAUUCCGGUAGACGAUGGGGAUGCGUUCCAUUAGAUAGUAGGCGGGGUAACGGCCCACCUAGUCUUCGAUGGAUAGGGGUUCUGAGAGGAAGGUCCCCACAUUGGAACUGAGACACGGUCCAAACUCC
rnacentral:rRNA from 1 species